GGGGGUAUAGCUCAGUUGGUAGCAGCGCCUGCUUUGCAAGCAGGAAGUCAGGAGUUCGAGUCUCCUUACCUCCA
rnacentral:tRNA from 1 species